rnacentral:rRNA from 1 species
UACGGGGGGAGCAAGCGUUGUUCGGAUUUACUGGGCGUAAAGGGCGCGUAGGCGGUCAGCACAAGUCAGUUGUGAAAUCUCCGGGCUUAACCCGGAAAGGUCAACUGAUACUGCGGGGCUAGAGUGCAGAAGGGGCAACUGGAAUUCUCGGUGUAGCGGUGAAAUGCGUAGAUAUCGAGAGGAACACCUGCGGCGAAGGCGGGUUGCUGGGCUGACACUGACGCUGAUGCGCGAAAGCUAGGGGAGCGAACGGG